rnacentral:lncRNA from 1 species
GCAGCAGCGAGCUGUUUGCCAGAUGUUUGAACUCUGGUGAACUGCUGUUCACUUGUCAGACUGGCAAUGAGGAGCGAACAAAUAUCGCACUAUUCAGCCUCCCUCCUGAGCUGCCAGAGAAUUUCAAACAGCUCCAAGUGCCAGAGCCAAAGGAUCUGCUGAGAAAGAAUAAGGAAAAUGUUUCCGCUGAGGAUGUGAGAGUACACAAAUGGUGCCAAGCAACUGAAUGCAUGCAGAAGUGGUCAAAACAGCAAGUAAUAGGAAGUGUCUGCGUCUCCUUACAAGAUUUUGCUGCAAGGUAGUGUUCUUUAAAUUCUCCUGGCACUUAAAAUGUCAAUUUGCUAUAACAAGUUUUUUAUAAUAUGAAAUCAUUCAAUUGUUCCUGAGAUUUACUGGGAAAGCUUUAGGCUGCAGCUAAUGAAUUGCUUCUGGCCCCAAAAUCACAUUUUAAAUUAGUUGACUGAACUAAGGUAUUCACCCACUUUCUGAUUUUAUGUUGCAUUUUUACUGCAAGAAACAAAAUGUUCUCUUGAGUCCAACAAUACCUUCAAACCCUGCUGCUUGCUGUCACCAAGCCUUGCUGUGGAGAGGUCAAUUAUGUUUCUCUUCAGGACAGUUUGAUGCCUAC